rnacentral:lncRNA from 1 species
GUCAGAGCUGGGAAGAGGCCAAGAAAGAAGAGAGCAUCUCAGCGUAGCAGCCCUUGAACGGAAUCUAUCCCAGAACUUAGAAAUACUUUCUUGGACAACCGUUUCUCCAAGGGAAAAUGGAAGAUCUUGGGGGAGAAGAUGUGAUUUUUCAUUAGCUAUAAAGAUGUUCAAAAUUGGAUUUGCUUCAGUUCAUUAGGAGGACGAAGCCCCCGGGACCCAUGUGACCACCCCUGAAGAAGUGACUGCCCCAGC